GCCUGCUGUGCUGACACUCCCCUCAUCAGAGGCCUGUCUUUCUGUUUGUCCCUAAGGUGUCCAUCAGGUUCUGAAGCCAGAUGCUGAAUCUGCUGGUGCUGGCACUGCUUCUUCUUUUCA
rnacentral:lncRNA from 1 species